AGAAGGGUGAAGACUAAAGAGUGCACUGAAAAGAAAGAGGCGGGGAAGUCGAGCCGGUGGGGAUGAUAAUAGAUUUACAGAAAAGCAAUUUUCACUCUGACUUGAAACUGGAGAGAGUAAAAGACUCUUCUACGAAAAAAAAUCGAACAAAGGUUGCAAUAAAAUUGGGAGAUUUUGGUGAGUAUGAUAUGAUUUAGGGUUUGAAGUGAAUGCGAGCUCAAAAUAUCGUAUGGAAAUCCGAAACUUCUGCAACACUAUCAGGUACUCCUUGAAACCUCUCUCUUAUAAAUUUCUAUUCCUUCACUCCUUGCUGCCACCAAUCUUUUCCACUACCUUACCUACGAUAAGACCCCCUUCAAAUUUUUACAUCAGAUUCAGUUUCUUUCACUCGCGGCCUCUCUGAAUUCUUCAGUUUUCACAACCAAAUACCAGUUUGUUAGUCCUUCUUCAUCCUUACAGAUUCGCGGUGGAGACAUAUACUUGAAGAUUGAUUUGUAUAGGCCUCGUACUCGUAGGUAUUUUAGGUCGUAUUUUGCUUCUAGUGAUCGGUGUACCCCGGAUGCAACUGCGAAGCAAGUCUCUGAAAUAAUUGACUUGUUGAGAGGGGGCGAGAAUGAUUUGAGUUCCAAGUUGAAUGGGAAGAACGUAACUUUAUCCAUACCGUUAUGUGUAAAAAUUUUUCAGGCGUUUUCUUGUGAAAGAGUGUCAGCAUUGCGAUUCUUUGAUUGGCUUGUGGCUUCGCAUCCUGAAUUUUGUCAUGAUUCGCAUUUAUGUAGUCUGGUUAUUGAUAAUUGUGGGCGAUUGGAAAAUUAUGAGGUUAUGGUUCCCAUUUUGAAAGAAUUUAACCUUAAAUGUGUGCGUUUGGAGCAAAAAGCAUUUGGUUUCUUGCUAGAUUCAAGUUUGCACAAAGCUUCUCUUAUGGAAUCUACAAAGAAAGUAAUGUCUGUGUUAAAUGAGGUUGGAGGGUCGUGUCAAACUUCAGGCAUCUGGUCAUUGAUAGAAAUGUUUUGUGUUUCUGGUUCGUUUGAUAUAGCUGAGUUUGUUAUAGGUACAGCAGGGAGGAAGGUGAAACAUUAUAAUGUCUUGAUUAGAGAGUUUUGUAGAAGAAGGGAUUGUGAAAGGGCAUGGAAAUUGCUAAAAGGGAUGAAACAAAAUGGUUGUGCUCCAAAUAUAACUAGUUAUAAUAUGGUCAUUAGUUGUUUAUGCACAAAUGGGAAAUUUGCUGAAGCUACCCAAUUGCUUGAAGCUAUAGAAAAGGACUAUGGUUUGCCAGAUGCAAGUACAUGUGAUAUAUUCAUUAACUUCCUGUGUAAACGUGGCCAUUUUGAUUUAGCAUUGGAAUUUCUUGAUAGAAUGACUGGGAGGGGUAUUGAACCUUGUAUUGCAUCUAAUGCUGCAAUAAUUAAGGCUUAUUUCAGAUCAAAAAAAUAUGAGGAAGCACAUAAGUUUGUGGUUGAUUCUGUUACAAAGCAGAGGUAUUCAAGCAAUGCAAACUACAGUUUGCUUGCAGCCCUUCAUUUGAAGAAAGGCAAUGUACUGCAGGCCUCGAAGAUUCUGCAUGAGAUGAUGGAUAAGGGUCUUAAGCCUAAUUUUCGGGUUUGCAUGUCGGUGAGUAAGCAUCUUGAGAAGUCAAAUACAAAAGCAAUGCAGUCAGAAUUAAUGAGUAGAUACAGGAGCAUUAUUGAGAAGUAAACACGGAUGCUGAAUCUUGUACAGAGGUUUUGCUAAAUGCUCAGCAUUUCCAUUGUAAGCCCCAAACAGACAAGUUUUGACCAGUUAAUCACAUAUGUGCUAUUUCAGUUCAGGUACUGAUUGGUGGUAAAUGAGGCUGAUUUCUUUCAGAUUUCCUUCUUUAUACUUUUUUUUUUUUUUGUCUCCCUACCUUUGCAACAACAGCUUCAAUGGCCUAAUUUUCAGUUUUCCAAGUUGAAAGAGGCCUUUGCAAACAACCUAAAGACGAAGGGGUGUAUUUGCAUUUAUUCCCAUUUGAAAAAGGUGUUUGAAAACAACCUAUAGUUGAAGGGGUGUGUUUGCAUUUAUCCCCUGUUUUAAGUUUCAAAUUGUGGGAGGACUGUAUGAGCUACUGAUAUUUUAUUUAACAGGAUUAGUGGACUGAGCAAUAUAUGUGUGAUAAACAUGACUCAUCAGCACCUCCUACAGGACAUUUAACUUGCUUGCUCCCAUAGGAGAUGAAAAGAAGUUUUUAAUCAGGGCUCCAUUGUUUUUUAUGGAAAAGUUUUCUUAACAUUAACAAUAAUUUUUCCUAUUUUUGCUUCAGUCACUGCUUCUAAUAUACAACUGCCAUUGUCUUCUGUCAUCAAUAAUUAAGGACAAUUGAUUGACGUCAUUCAAGUUGAAGACCUUCAGUUGAAGUUUGGUUUUUCAUAAUAGUAAUUGAGGCUGGAAAUGAUAUGCAAGCAAGAUUUCACAUUAUCUUUAAACAUGAUGAGUGAAAGUGAUCUAACAAGAAGCCUAAGUUAAGUUGAGAGGAGCUACCAGCCAGCUUUGUUUGUCAUCUUGAUGGUUCUGAAAAAAUCUUUAGAAAGGAUGUAAGCCAUAUCUGGUAUGAAAGUGGCCUGUAAGUAUAUUUACAUCAUUAGCUUAUGAACAUUUGGACCGUUUGAGAUAUUUGUGGUUGAUUUUUUUCUUGGGCGGGGGGAUGGAGAGAGAGAAAAGACAAUUAAUAUGGGGAUUACAUGUAAGAAAUAAGAGAACUAAUUUCCUCGUAUUUAGUAUCUUUCUUUGUGUGAAAUACAUAAUUCACAUUCUCUUGAUAAAUUUAAAAUUCAAAAUUGUUUGGUGGGACUUAUUUCUGACAUGUUUUCUAGUGUAUUCAUGAUUGACCUGAUUUAUCUAUCUCUUGUAGAUUGACUUUUCUUGAGAAUUUUUUGUUAUUAUCUCUUGAAUAUUUAGCUGUCUGGGCUGGCAUGCUUGGCUUUAUACACUGAAUCCAAAUCAGGGUAGAAUAUUAUCUGUGGAACCCAUACCAAUCACUGCCAUCAUCCCCUUCAGAUAGCCUUCCUAAUACACACCAGAUGAUAGGCUUGUGGGCCAGUCAGCUUGUGCAGGUACCAAGACUCUUUAGUUGGUACAACUUGACCUUGCUGCAUGAACCGAUAUUUAAUUAAAUCACCGAUUUUAAGUUUGAGAUGCGAGCAUGGCUUUGCAUCAUCUUUGUUUCUCCAUACAUGUGUAAUUUUAUUCAUAGGAAUCUACCUUAUUGAUAAGUUAUUUAAAAAAAAAAAAUGCCGCUCAUGUUACUUGUCCAAAGUUUAGACUCAGUAUGGUUUUCCUGUAACUUUACCCAGAACCCAACAGUACUUUGCAAGCUAAACACUUCUAAGAGAUAAAUCAUUUGAAAAGCGGCAUUUUUCUUAAUAGAAUUUCCUGGAGAAUUUUAGAAAAUUUUAUACUAAGAGAGAAUAUUAUACAUUAUUAUCGCACUUUAAUAGGAUGGGUGAUUUUAAUU